GUAACAUUGUGAGUGUUGAUAUGGUGGAUGGUGGACUAUUAUGCUCAAGUGGUGUGUGUGUGGAAGAACUGGGAGAUAAGAAUGAUGACUGCUAUGUAGUCAAUGCUGCAGUUUAUGUUGGCUACUAGACUUGUUUGUUAUCAGUGUUUUAUAAGAUAUACCAUGUCAUCUAGCAGUGUUAAUGACUCUUCUAACUCCAAAUGUCCAUUAAAUUAUCAGAAUUUAAGAUGUGGAUGUAAUAGAAAGGCAGCAGUGAGGAUUUCUGAAUCUGUCCAAAAUAUGAACAAACUCUACUACUGUUGUUCAGAGUUUCCAAGAGGAGGCUAUGGUUUUUUUCAUGGUGUUCACCCAUGCAAGGCAUUCCUGAAACUACUACACAUGAAACCACAGUAUAUGGAAGAGUUAUACAAAUGGAACAACAGAUGAAGGAUUUCUUUUGUCAAAACUCUACUACUGUUGUUUAGAGUUACCAAGAGGAGGCUAUGGUUUUUUUCUUGGUGUUCAUCCGUGUAAGGCAUUCCUAAAACCACUGCACAUGAAACCACAGUAUAUGGAAGACUUAUACAAAUGGAACAACAGAUGAAGAAUGAGCUACAAAUGUUGACAGAAGAAAUCCGUAGUUUGAAAAAUAUAUUGAAUGUGAUGGGUCAGAUUGUAAUGGUUAUUGUUGUUGUUUUUUUGAUAUAAUUGAGUGGGUAAGCUUAGUAGAAGCUUAUGUAGGACAUGUCAAAUCUGUAGUUACCUAUUACAAUGAAAUUGAGGUUGAUUUGCAAUUGUGUUGUCUAAAUGGGGAUGUACUGUA